UGUCUGAAAAGGAAGUUGAAGAAGACAAAGCAGGAGGAAGAAGAGAGAGGGAAGGAGGAGGAGAGUACAUUUAAAACUUCUCAAGAGAAACCCUGACGCCCAGAGGCCUGCCCACCACAUGGCCCGCCUGCAGCAGGAACCACUACAAUGUGCAUCCCUUUGCCCAGCGCUUUAUAGCAUAUCGCCUCUUCUAUGGGGCUCCUCAAGAACUGUAUUCCAGAAAUUCCUGGAAAUGUGUCCUCUUCAGGAGGCGGUGUUUACAUCUUACCAUCUUACUGGACUCUUCCUGUGAGGCUCCUCACAUCCCUUUAAGAAGAGCAGCAUUUCCCUCGUGUGAAAUGUAGAGGUGAGCUCGGCUUCCUGUUUGCCGGGAGUAUCUAAAGCAGCGGUUCUUACCCUGUGGGUUGAGACCCUCAGAGGGGUCGCAUCUCAGAUGAUAUCCUGCAGUCAGAGAUCCUGCACAUCAGAGACCCUGCAUAUCAGAGAUCCUGCACAUCAGAGAUCCUGCACAUCAGAUAUCCUGCAAUCAGAGAUCCUGCACAUCAGAGAUCCUGCAAUCAGAGAUCCUGCAAUCAGAGACCCUGCACAUCAGAGAUCCUGCAAUCAGAGAUCCUGCAAUCAGAGACCCUGCACAUCAGAGAUCCUGGUUGAUGCUUACCACAAUGCCAAAGGAACUGUAUUAAAGGGUUGCAGCAUUAGGAAGGUUAAAAACCACUGGAAAAAGGCAAAUGUCUGAACAAUAACUGUUU
rnacentral:lncRNA from 1 species